AUGAACUUACAGCAAGCAAUAUUAGUCAAUUUGCAUUUCUUAGAAGGGACCCAGAGAUUGGACGAACCUGUAUCAAAAAGAAUGUUGAAGUUUUGCGGUGGAGUUCCAAUUGUAAUUGGUCCAUAGUACUGUGCAUCCAUGUAAUUGUUAAGUGGCUCAUCUGGUGAGCCAAGUCUGUUAUUUGAGUAUUUUGUAUUUAAGCCUAAUUUGCCUUCCAAAUCUUUCUCUGAGACAUUUAUUUCCUUUAAUUGUGAGCGAAUUGUACGAAAUUUGGUAAGUGGUAUCCUAUAAAAAAGAACACAAAGCAUUUGAUUAAUGUCCAACACUUUCAAGCUCAGUAGCUAAACAUAUGGUCUUGCGUACUUUAUGCAAAUUUCAUCUCCAGAUGAAAAAAAUAAAUAUAGAAUAAAAUAUAUUUCGAAAUAAUGC